rnacentral:rRNA from 1 species
CAAAUAACUCCACCCACUCUGCGGACGGGUGAGUAAUGCCUAGGAAUCUGCCUGGUAGUGGGGGAUAACGUCCGGAAACGGGCGCUAAUACCGCAUUCUAUCAGAUAAGCCUAGGUCGGAUUAGCUAGUUGGUGGGGUAAAGGCCUACCAAGGCGACGAUCCGUAACUGGUCUGAGAGGAUGAUCAGUCACACUGGAACUGAGACACGGUCCAGACUCCUACGGGAGGCAGCAGGGGGGAAUAUUGGACAAUGGGCGAAAGCCCGAUCCAGCCAUGCCGCGUGUGUGAAGAAGGUCUUCGGAUUGUAAAGCACUUUAAGUUGGGAGGCGUUACCAGCAGAAUAAGCACCGGCUAACUUCGUGCCAGCAGCCGCGGUAAUUC